ensembl:lncRNA
UUAACCUCUGUAUUCUUCGUAUAUGUUUUUUGACUUGGUUUCCCUCAGAACCAGACCCCAUGUCAAUGUGUAAACCCUUUAUCUGGGAAGUUCAUAAAUUAGUGAUAGGGAAAUAAGAAGUGGGACAGGAAAGGGGGGGGGGGCAUUCAGGAGAAUUCUUUGAAAUGAUUUAAAACUGUCUCAGAGUUAUUCCACCCAGGAAUCCCCAUUAUGGCUCUGCAGGUUACGAACAUGCCUAGUCUCCAUGAGGUUGCGGGUUUGAUCCCUGGCCCUGCUCAGUGAGUUAAGGAUCUAGCGUUGCCGUGAGCUAUGGUGUAAACUGCAGACCCGGCUUGGAACUGGCAUUGAUAGGCUGUGGCUGUGGUGUAGUGCAGCUCUGUUUCGACCCCUAGCCUGGAAAAUUCCAUAUGCUGCAGGUAUGACCCUAAAAACCAAUAUGAAUAAAUAAAAAGUAUCAGUUAUUCCACCCAACGGGGGAGGGAAGGGGGGUAUUUAGACACCAACUCUUAUCAGGUGUUGGCUUAAUUCCACUGGGUUUGAAGAAGAUGUGAUUUUCCUUACUGGACAGUAGUCUUUGAAGAUGCAGAAAAAGCCCCCAGGCAAAAAGAAACAGAUGCUGACAGUUGGAAAUCAAUGGGAGCAUGACUGGAGCUGAAACAGAAAGGGCUGGGAGCCCUAGGAGGGCCACCCAAAGCAUGUUCCAUCCCUUCUGUGUGCUCUCUUCUACUUGGUGUUAUUUCAUCACUGUCCAAGGAAAGGUAUUGUGUAUUCAUUUAUUCAUUAGUUUACACACAUUUAAUGAUCUCUCCUGCCAGGAGCCACUGUUCUAGGCACAGAGGCAGACACUAGGAUGGAAAAUGGCCAACUGCCACCUCUGAGGCACUCACAGUCAGUGCAGUGGGCCAAGGAGGGGAUGAGCCAUGGAAAGUCCUCACCAUGCACAGGAGCGUGAGUUAUGUGUUCCAUCUAUGAGAAAGCCGAUUCCUAGUACCUUCUAGAGUGGCUUUGGCCCUUUUAUUAACUUGGAGCGUCCCUGUCUUACCCCACAAUUCUCUGUGUGUCCCCCCUGAAGAGGCACAUGUAUGGAAAAGGAAGAGUAGCAAAAUGGUGUUCCAAUCAGGGUAUUUUAGUAGUUGUGACUCUGGCUGGAAUAGUUAGAUGAUUGUUCAAGAUUUUGACAUGAGGAUAUUCUGAGUGCACUUAGAGAAGAUUGGGACUCUGCAUGAAAAAAAAUCUAUAGCUUUUUCUAAAGGAAGGCUACCACUAUGCAUCAUACACAUAUAAGAAAGCCAGUGAACCGUUAUUGGAUGAAUCCACACUGAAAAAGUUAUAACAACAAGGAUAAGAUUUAAAGAUAUGUAUUAAUUCAAAAUGGGAGAUACGGCUAUAGUAAUGUGAAUGAAUACAUGUGAUUAUCUAAAACAGCAUUGAUAUUUAGAGAGCCUUUUCAUUACUUUCUCUGGAUUUAUUCAGGGAGAUGGUGGAGGUGGCUGCAGAGAUGGGGGCAAUAGCCAUGGUUCCCAUGUUAAGGAAUGUCUGUUAUGGGUCAUCUUAUCUCUAAAAGCUUGACAACUACUUUACAAGGCAGAUUACCAUAUUCAUUUUAUAUUAAUGAAACUGAUGUUCGGAAAACUUAAUUGUCAAAAACCAUGAAUCUGGUCCAUCAAGAUUUUAACCUGAGUAUCUUUUAUGGUGAAAUAUGCUUGCAAAACUUAUUGGGAAGAAAGACAAUGGACAACAAAAGAGUAUCUAAAUUUCUAAUAGUUUAGAAAACAUUACUUGGGAAAUUGACUAUAGACUACAUACUUUCCUGUGCACACCAUCAUGAAAAGAUAGACAGACCCCCGACCCUCACACAGCUUCUUAUAGCCUUUGGGGAGGAUGGCAGAGCUACUAAACAAAUCAGUGCACACCAGGUGCUACGUGUUAUAAUGGGGAAACAGGCACUAAGGAACCAAGAUCCAGGGGAUCUAAUCGAUUUUAGGGAUCAUAAAAAGCUUUCUUGGGAAAGAGAAUUUUAUGCAAAAAGUUAAAGGAUAACUAGACUGAUGGUGAGGGAUAGGGGGGAGAAGUAUUCACGCACAGGAAAGAGUGUCUCUGAAGGCCCAGAGGUCUAAUUCCAGCUUUGAAAGGAAAAUAUGGGAGAUUCCACUGUGGCUCAAUGGAUUAAGGAACCAGUGUUAUCUCUGUGAGGAUGCAGGUUCAAUCUCCGGCCUCGCCUAGUGGGUUAAUUAUCCAGCAUUGCUGCAAGCUGUAGAGUAGAUUGAAGAUGGGGCUCAGAUCCUGUGUUGCAAUGGCUGUGAUGUAGGCCUACAGCUGCAGCUCCAAUUCAACCUCUAGCCUGGGAACUUCCAUAUGCUGUAGGUGUGGCAGUCAAAAG